CUUUCCCAGAUCCACUAAUGGUAGAUUUAGUGUGCGCCUGUCAGUUAUCCUAUUGUGAGGAUUAUAUCUCUAUCGCCCUCAGUUGUUGCUUCUCAAGCCAUGGUGAUGUCCAAUAUACUUAUGACGGAGCCAGAGCUUCGCUUGAGUCUCUUACCACCUCUUUCACAGAGUUGUGUUUUGUAUUGUUCAUUAUCGCAUGUUGGGUCUCCGUGUUCUGUUGGAG